rnacentral:rRNA from 1 species
GACGAACGCUGGCGGCGUGCCUAAUACAUGCAAGUAGAACGCUGAAGGCGGAGCUUGCUUCUCUGGAUGAGUUGCGAACGGGUGAGUAACGCGUAGGUAACCUGCCUGGUAGCUGGGGAUAACUAUUGGAAACGAUAGCUAAUACCGCAUAAUAGCAGCUAUUGCAUGAUAACUGUUUGAAAGGUGCAAUUGCACCACUACCAGAUGCGCCUGCGUUGUAUUGGCUAGUUGGUGGGGUAACGGCGCACCAAGGCGACGAUACAUAGCCGCCAUGAGAUGGGGAUCGGCCACACUGGGAGUGUGACACGGCCCAGACGCAUACGGGAGGCAGCAGUAGGGAAUCUGCGGCAAUGGGCGGAAGUCAGACCGAGCAACGCCGCGUGAGUGAAGAAGGUCUUCGGGUCGGAAAGCUCGGUUGUAAGGGAAGAACGAGUGUGAGAGUGGAAAGUACACACUGUGACGGUAACGUACAAGAAAGGGACGGCUAACUACGUG